rnacentral:rRNA from 1 species
CUACGGGUCGCUCCAGUGAGGAAUAUUGCACAAUGGGGGGAACCCUGAUGCAGCAACGCCGCGUGGAGGAUGACGCAUUUCGGUGUGUAAACUCCUUUUAUAUGUCAAGAAAAUGACGGUAGCAUAUGAAUAAGCACCGGCUAACUCCGUGCCAGCAGCCGCGGUAAUACGGAGGGUGCAAGCGUUACUCGGAAUCACUGGGCGUAAAGGACGCGUAGGCGGGUUGGAAAGUCAGGUGUGAAAUCCUACAGCUUAACUGUACAACUGCACUUGAAAUUUCUAAUCUAGAGUAUGGGAGGGGGAGAUGGAAUUAGUGGUGUAGGGGUAAAAUCCGUAGAUAUCACUAGGAAUACCUAAAGCGAAGGCGAUCUCCUGGAACAUUACUGACGCUAAGGCGUGAAAGCGUGGGGAGCAAACAGGAUUAGAUACCCUCGUAGUC